rnacentral:rRNA from 1 species
UGAGCAAUCUGCCCUUCUCAUCGGAAUAAGCGUUGGAAACGACGUCUAAUGCCGAAUACGACCUCCUUUCGCAUGAUCGGAGGUGGAAAGCUCCGGCGGAGAAGGAUGAGCUCGCGGCCUAUCAGCUAGUUGGUGAGGUAACGGCUCACCAAGGCAUCGACGGGUAGCCGGCCUGAGAGGGUGACCGGCCACACUGGGACUGAGACACGGCCCAGACUCCGUAGGAGG